UUAAGCGACCAAGCGUACACGGUGGAUGCCCUGGCAGUCAGAGGCGAUGAAGGACGUGCUAAUCUGCGAAAAGCGCCGGUAAGGUGAUAUGAACCGUUAUAACCGGCGAUGUCCGAAUGGGGAAACCCAGUGUGACUCGUCACACUAUCAUUAACUGAAUCCAUAGGUUAAUGAGGCGAACCGGGGGAACUGAAACAUCUAAGUACCCCGAGGAAAAGAAAUCAACCGAGAUUCCCCCCAGUAGCGGCGAGCGAACGGGGAGGAGCCCAGAGCCUGAAUCAGCAUGUGUGUUAGUGGAAGCGUCUGGAAAGGCGCGCGAUACAGGGUGACAGCCCCGUACACAAAAGCGCAUGUGCUGUGAGCUCGAUGAGUAGGGCGGGACACGUGGUAUCCUGUCUGAAUAUGGGGGGACCAUCCUCCAAGGCUAAAUACUCCUGACUGACCGAUAGUGAACCAGUACCGUGAGGGAAAGGCGAAAAGAACCCCGGCGAGGGGAGUGAAACAGAACCUGAAACCGUGUACGUACAAGCAGUGGGAGCCCCACCACUAAGCCAGUGGUGAACUCCACAUACGCAUCCUUUGCUGAGGAUACGGUUAACGGAGCGCAAGCGACGUUCAACCGCAAAAGAAGCAGAGGGGGCUUAGUGGUGGGGUGACUGCGUACCUUUUGUAUAAUGGGUCAGCGACUUAUAUUCUGUAGCAAGGUUAACCGAAUAGGGGAGCCGGAGGGAAACCGAGUCUUAAUUGGGCGUUAAGUUGCAGGGUAUAGACCCGAAACCCGGUGAUCUAGCCAUGGGCAGGUUGAAGGUUGGGUAACACUAACUGGAGGACCGAACCGACUAAUGUUGAAAAAUUAGCGGAUGACCUGUGGCUGGGGGUGAAAGGCCAAUCAAACCGGGAGAUAGCUGGUUCUCCCCGAAAGCUAUUUAGGUAGCGCCUCGUGAAUUCAUCUCCGGGGGUAGAGCACUGUUUCGGCCAGGGGGCCAUCCCGGCUUACCAACCCGAUGCAAACUGCGAAUACCGGAGAAUGUUAUCACGGGAGACACACGGCGGGUGCUAACGUCCGUCGUGAAGAGGGAAACAACCCAGACCGCCAGCUAAGGUCCCAAAGUCAUGGUUAAGUGGGAAACGAUGUGGGAAGGCCCAGACAGCCAGGAUGUUGGCUUAGAAGCAGCCAUCAUUUAAAGAAAGCGUAAUAGCUCACUGGUCGAGUCGGCCUGCGCGGAAGAUGUAACGGGGCUAAACCAUGCACCGAAGCUGCGGCAGCGACACUAAGUGUUGUUGGGUAGGGGAGCGUUCUGUAAGCCUGCGAAGGUGUGUCGUGAGGCAUGCUGGAGGUAUCAGAAGUGCGAAUGCUGACAUAAGUAACGAUAAUGCGGGUGAAAAACCCGCACGCCGGAAGACCAAGGGUUCCUGUCCAACGUUAAUCGGGGCAGGGUGAGUCGACCCCUAAGGCGAGGCCGAAAGGCGUAGUCGAUGGGAAACGGGUUAAUAUUCCCGUACCUGGUGUUACUGCGAAGGGGGGACGGAGAAGGCUAUGUUGGCCGGGCGACGGUUGUCCCGGUUUAAGCGUGCAGGCUGGUUUUCCAGGCAAAUCCGGAAAAUCAAGGCUGAGGCGUGACGACGAGGCACUACGGUGCUGAAGCAACAAAUGCCCUGCUUCCAGGAAAAGCCUCUAAGCCUCAGGUAACAUCAGAUCGUACCCGAAACCGACACAGGUGGUCAGGUAGAGAAUACCAAGGCGCUUGAGAGAACCCGGGUGAAGGAACUAGGCAAAAUGGUGCCGUAACUUCGGGAGAAGGCACGCUGACACGUAGGUGAAGCGGUUUACCCGUGGAGCUGAAGUCAGUCGAAGAUACCAGCUGGCUGCAACUGUUUAUUAAAAACACAGCACUGUGCAAACACGAAAGUGGACGUAUACGGUGUGACGCCUGCCCGGUGCCGGAAGGUUAAUUGAUGGGGUCAGCGCAAGCGAAGCUCCUGAUCGAAGCCCCGGUAAACGGCGGCCGUAACUAUAACGGUCCUAAGGUAGCGAAAUUCCUUGUCGGGUAAGUUCCGACCUGCACGAAUGGCGUAAUGAUGGCCAGGCUGUCUCCACCCGGGACUCAGUGAAAUUGAACUCGCUGUGAAGAUGCAGUGUACCCGCGGCAAGACGGAAAGACCCCGUGAACCUUUACUAUAGCUUGACACUGAACACUGGUCCUUGAUGUGCAGGAUAGGUGGGAGGCUUUGAAGUGUGGACGCCAGUCUGCAUGGAGCCGUCCUUGAAAUACCACCCUUUAAUGGCUGGUGUUCUAACGUAGACCCGUGAACCGGGUUGCGGACAGUGUCUGGUGGGUAGUUUGACUGGGGCGGUCUCCUCCUAAAGCGUAACGGAGGAGCACGAAGGUUGGCUAAUCCUGGUCGGACAUCAGGAGGUUAGUGCAAUGGCAUAAGCCAGCUUGACUGCGAGCGUGACGGCGCGAGCAGGUGCGAAAGCAGGUCAUAGUGAUCCGGUGGUUCUGAAUGGAAGGGCCAUCGCUCAACGGAUAAAAGGUACUCCGGGGAUAACAGGCUGAUACCGCCCAAGAGUUCAUAUCGACGGCGGUGUUUGGCACCUCGAUGUCGGCUCAUCACAUCCUGGGGCUGAAGUAGGUCCCAAGGGUAUGGCUGUUCGCCAUUUAAAGUGGUACGCGAGCUGGGUUUAGAACGUCGUGAGACAGUUCGGUCCCUAUCUGCCGUGGGCGCUGGAGAACUGAGGGGGGGCUGCUCCUAGUACGAGAGGACCGGAGUGGACGCAUCACUGGUGUUCGGGUUGUCAUGCCAAUGGCACUGCCCGGUAGCUAAAUGCGGAAGAGAUAAGUGCUGAAAGCAUCUAAGCACGAAACUUGCCCCGAGAUGAGUUCUCCCUGAGACUACAAGUCUCCUGAAGGAACGUUGAAGACGACGACGUUGAUAGGCCGGGUGUGUAAGCGCAGCGAUGCGUUGAGCUAACCGGUACUAAUGAACCGUGAGGCUUAACCUU
rnacentral:rRNA from 1 species